rnacentral:rRNA from 1 species
GACGAACGCUGGCGGCGUGCUUAACACAUGCAAGUCGAACGGAAAGGCCCUGCUUUUGUGGGGUGCUCGAGUGGCGAACGGGUGAGUAACACGUGAGUAACCUGCCCUUGACUUUGGGAUAACUUCAGGAAACUGGGGCUAAUACCGGAUAGGAGCUCCUGCUGCAUGGUGGGGGUUGGAAAGUUUCGGCGGUUGGGGAUGGACUCGCGGCUUAUCAGCGUGUUGGUGGGGUAGUGGCUUACCAAGGCUUUGACGGGUAGCCGGCCUGAGAGGGUGACCGGCCACAUUGGGACUGAGAUACGGCCCAGACUCCUACGGGAGGCAGCAGUGGGGAAUAUUGCACAAUGGGGGGAAGCCUGAUGCAGCAACGCCGCGUGCGGGAUGACGGCCUUCGGGUUGUAAACCGCUUUCGCCUGUGACGAAGCGUGAGUGACGGUAAUGGGUAAAGAAGCACCGGCUAACUACGUG